rnacentral:lncRNA from 1 species
GUUUAGUAACAUUACACUGGUAUACCACAAACAUCUCGAGAGGGUCUCCAGAGGUACAGCCAUGAGGAAAGUUCUCAUCAUUAAUCACGAUCUUGCACACAUUACGGUAAUCACAAAUGGUCUGUAACUUAGGCAGAACAUCAGGCGCCUUACAGGAGUCUUUGUAGAAGGUAGCAUUCACCGUAGUUCCAUUCGUUCCAUUUUCUUCUACACUGCAUACGGGAGAGUUUGGACGACGACCGUAAAAUGCAGAGAUCACUUCGAUAUCUUGUUCAGCAUCGCUACAAUCCAAAGUGAUCGUAGAGUUCCAGCAAGCUUUCGCAGUCUUAUAGUCU